rnacentral:rRNA from 1 species
UACGAAGGGGGCUAGCGUUGCUCGGAAUCACUGGGCGUAAAGGGCGCGUAGGCGGCCUGAUCAGUCGGGGGUGAAAGCCUGUGGCUCAACCACAGAAUGGCCUCGAUACUGUCAGGCUUGAGACCGGAAGAGGUAAGUGGAACUGCGAGUGUAGAGGUGAAAUUCGUAGAUAUCGCAAGAACACCAGUGGCGAAGGCGGCUGACUGGUCCGGUUCUGACGCUGAGGCGGCGAAAGCGUGG